UUAAGUUCAGCGGGUAUUCCUACCUGAUUCGAGGUCAACCUUUAAAAUUGGGGUGUUUUACGGCAGGGGACCGGCCCAACUACAGACGAGAGAAAUUUACUACGUCUAGAGUGUGAGACCGACUCCGCCACUAACUUUGGGGAGCUACAGCAAAGUAGGCUCCCAACACUAAGCAACAGGGCUUAAGGGUUGAAAUGACG
rnacentral:misc_RNA from 1 species